GCCUGGGUGGCUCAGUCGGUUGAGCGUCUGACUCCGGCUCAGGUCAUGAUCUCGCGGUCCGUGAGUUCAAGCCCCGCGUCGGGCU
rnacentral:tRNA from 1 species